ACCAAAACGUGGACAAACUUUUCGUGCGACAUUCUUCUCUCGCGGUUUCGUCCUGCCCCUGCGACGCGCAUCCCGCCCGGCUCUCUCUUCCGCUCGGAGCCCCGCUCCCAAAUCCGCCUCUCCUCGCCGCCCCCUCCGUCCCUCCCAGAUCCGCGUCGACGCAGAGCCCCCCCUCCCAGAUACUCCUCGGCCCUCCCGUAUCCUGCUCGGAGCCCCGCUCCCAAAUCCUCCUCGGCGCCCCCUCCCAGAUCCUCGUCGACGCUCCCCUCCCAGAUCCUCCUCGGCGCCGCCUCACCAACCCACGUUCGCCCGCAGAAGCCACCGCCGUCACGUCGUCUCUCCCCUCUGCAAUCUCCUCUGCUCGCCCUCACCCUCACAGUGGGACGGGGCAAAGCGGCGUUUGAAGUGUCGGACCCAAGAUCUACGCGUCUCAAGUUGAAGUGAUGCGGCGGAUGCAGCGUCUUAGGGCAUCAUCGAUAGGGUGGUGCUAGAGGCAUCGUAUACCCGCCGGCGGCGGCCAACACCCACCAGGUAUUCGUACCCCUUCUCUCCCCUUCCUGUUUUCUGAAACCGAGCACAUGGAUAUUAUUUUUCUACUAUGAAUCGCUAGCUGCAGCUAGCAUCAGUCAAGGCAAUUGCUUGAAGUGUAUAAAAGUGUUUUUUCUGCAGUCGAUUAUAUUGAUGGUCUUAUUUUCUAUAGUUGUAAAUCCUACAAAUUAGCUAGACACAAACUUGUGUAUGAGGAAGUCGCAGAGCCUGUGCUUGAGGCAAGUCUUGCAUUCCAGAUGACACUAAUUAAUUUUGGUGUUUACCUAUGUCUGGUAAGUCUGUAGAAAUUGUGGUGUUGUAUCCGAUCUGUCCAAUUCUAAAAGUAAGAAGAAAGUUGAGGGAUCUUUGCUUCAAUUGCUUAGGGCACAUCAGGGGUUUCAAUGACUGAGUGUUUUUUUUCUGCAGUCCAUUUUGCUGAUGGUCUUUUUUUCUGUAGUUCAAGAGGCUGAACCUGAAGAAAAAUUAUUGGAGAUAAUUUACAUCAGUGUCAGCACCCAAACCGGAACUUCUUACCAUCCAUAUCAACUGUUAGGAGGGCCUGGAGUGUUGGCCUGACCAUACUACCAGAGAGCUGGAACAUCGCCACCAAGGUCCACUACCACGCCGCCAUCGAGGACCAAUGCCACAUCCGCUCAACCAUUGCUGAUACCAGGUGUUCCAACCCCCUUCUUUUUGCUUCCUGCUGUGCAAAAUCGGCCAACCCUAACUUUGUUGUGUAAUUAAUCUUACCUUUGUUGUGUUGUUGGAGA